GCCAGUCCAAAGAACACCAGCAAUUCCUCACCUUCUUGCAAAGGCUCCUUGGGCCUUUGUUAGAGGCCUAUAGCUCUGCUGCCAUCUUCAUCCAUAACUUUAGUGGCCCGAUUUCAGAACCAGAGUAUCUGCAGAAGUUACAUAAAUACUUAAUAACCAGAACAGAAAGGAAUGUUGCUGUAUAUGCUGAGAGUGCUACAUACUGUCUUGUGAAGAAUGCAGUGAAAAUCUUUAAGGACAUUGGGGUUUUCAAGGAGACAAAACAAAAGAGAAUAUCAAUUUUGGAGUUAAGCAACACUUUUCUACCUCAGUGUAACCGGCAGAAACUACUGGAAUAUAUUUUAAGCUUUGUUGUAUUAUAGAAGAAUGGUAGCACUUUUGCUUAAAAAGGAAAAUAAAGGGGGUGGGGAGGGUGAGGCCAGCACAGUCUCCAGGAUUUCACUGGCCCAACAGUUGGAGGUGCCAUUAUGUGUAGGACCUUAUCUGCCUGGAUCUACUGGAAGACAAGUGCCUUCUUCCAUCCAUGGAUUUGUGAUAAUCCUUCUUCAGUAAUAUAAUAACCUACAGCGAACACUUGGAUUUAGCCUCAAUUUGCAAAUCAAAAUCAGUAGACUUAAAAAUGAAAUCUCAGCAAAUUAUUUUGGAUUUUAUUGAAUAGCUCCAUUUUAAAUAACUACUUUUAAGGUCUAAUUCCUGUUGUUUUGCAAAAAAAAAAAAAAAAUGUAGUGGUAAGCAAAAGCCCCUGAGCUUGUUUAGCAAACAUAGUGCUUUCAGCAAACCCACCAGGAUUUAAGUGCUUUUAAAAAUAAGUUUAAAUCAUCCAAUUCACUCACUUUUUUACGCGCUCUAAAAAAAUAGAAUAAUAUAAUUUUUCAUAUGUGCACCUUUCAUCAGAAAGCUCUUUAAGAAUUGAAUGGGCUGAUACAAAUUGUAGCCUGGGAUCAAUGUUGUUUUCUUUAGGAGUCUGAUAUAAAAGUUGUUAUAGAGCUGCAUGAAAUGAAAUAAUAGCUGAAAUUAAAAUUACUAUAAAUAACAUAGCAGGGAAUAAAUCAAGUAGUCAGAGUUCAAAAGGAGCUGGCCAGGUAUCUUUCACUUUUGCAAAAAGUGCCAUUGAGUUUUAUUGACCACAGUAUACAACUGAUCAUUCAAUUAGUGUUCAGGACCUCUUAUUUUAUAUCUAUAUCCGCAAGGGGUGCACCUUGCAUAGCAUCGUGUCUUUUUACUUCUUUCUGAAGUAUGAAGGAAAUUGCCACAUACUGAAUUGUCCAGCAUUGAUUUAUUUCUAUAGCAUUUGGGUGCUUCUUGGAAGACUCCCACCUAGCCAUGGAUUUAGCUUAACUUGCCUUCUCGUCAGGCGAUGAGAUCUGAGCCUACGGUGCUGUGGCUGGGAAGCCACUACCUUGUAACUCAGCUGCUUUGUGAAGUAAUCAUGCAUGGACAACAGUUAGCUUUGUGAAAAAUCCAUGGUUCUUCAAAAUUACAGGGAAACUACAUGCCAAAACCUAUCAUGUUGAAUUGUUAUUGAGACCACAUAGUGGGCAAAUAAUUAUGAAAGGCUGUCUGUUUGUGAAGGGCACGUGCCAUUUUGUUAGGAGACAGCAUAAUUGUACAUUAAUUGCACUAAUGUUGAUGUUCCCUUAAGGAUAAUGUGACAUUAAAAUGUUUUGUAAUGGA